CUUUUGGCAGUGACUUUAUUAGAAGGCUGUGACUUUCUAGAAUACUUUCGAAUGAGGUUUAUAAAUUUUUUACGAGAAAAUUAUUUAUUAUUGUAUUUAUAAUUUGGAAUGUAAUUUGGAAAAUUAACGGUUGGUAACUAUGUUGAAAUUCUUUGGAGCAUUUUUUAUAUUUGUGUUGCUUAUUAAAUGCACGUACUCGCAUUUAUGUGGAAACUGUGACAAGGAGAAUAGGGGUCUUUGCACGAUUCCCGAACCCGGAUUCGACUGCCUCGGCCCAGAGUUUCACAACUCCGUUAUCCUGGACGCCUUAAAGCUCGGCAUGACUCCUCACAGCCAACUAAUGGGCUCCAAGGUCCCGAUUUAUAGCGAAAAUAUGGAAAAAUGUCUUCCCCAGGGAUUUGAAUUUACACCGCGAGUUAAUUACUCGGUUUGCUGUGUUUGGUCUCCCAAAAUGGGCUGCCACGUUGUCGUGUCUGAAGAACUAAAGAAGUACAUCCCAUGUGGUAUUUGCCGGAUCCCUGUUACCAUUAAAGGCACUAAUCCCACAUGUGGUUGCCUGGAAACGAGAGGUAGUCAGGUGUCAUUUAAACCAUUUGAUAAUAAACAUUAUACAUCUGAUGGGACGGAGAAUUAUUCGAAAAUUAUUCCCGAAUCCGAAAAUCAUGAGGAAGACCAGUUUAAUGGCGACGAUUUAAAAAACUCAUCGGAGAAAAUUCAGUUAACAAGUCCCGCUUUAGUCAUUGCUACAUAUAUCUUUGUAAUAUUAAGAAUAUGAUACAGAACUUUUAUAGUUUGACAAAGAAUCUAUCAAAUAAAUUUACAAUUUUCUAAAAACAAGCUAAUUAAUAAAAACAUAUAUUAAAAAAUUAAUAUUAAUAUGCUUUUUGAAAUGAAAAGAUGCUAAUGAAAUUUACGUCACUAUUAUUUAUUCCUAAUUGGACCUUCAAAAUUACAAGUUUGGUAGUAUGUAUAAUUUAGUUUUAAGAUUCUUUUUACUUCUCGUAUGUUUUAAGUGGAUAGUUGGUCAGUUCUGUGGAAACUGUAGUUCGGAAAAUUCCGGUAAAUGCACCAUUGACGAGACAGCCAGCUACAAGUGCCUCAAUUCAGAAUUUUUGAAGUCGACCUUCCUUCUGAAAAUCAAAUCAGGCGUUCAAUUUCAUCCUGAACUGAAGGGCUCAAUGGUUCCCGAAUACAAUAGUGAUAUGAGUGCUUGCUUCAUAGAUGAUUUCAAAUUCAAUCCGAUUGAGAACUUCUCGGUGUGCUGUGUUUAUUCUCGCGAAAGGGGCUGCCAUUUGGUCGUGGCUAGAAAACUUGAGAACUAUAUCCCCUGUGGUCUCUGCAGAAUGCCGGAAUUCCCAAAUAAGCCUGGAGGCAUUUGUCCUUGCAAGGAGCUAUAUGAUACAUCUCGUCCGCUUCCAUUACGAAGUUCUUCGAAAAUAAGUCACUGUAGCAUAAACGCUUUUAUAUUUGGAUUUUAUGUAAUAACUAUAAUCAAAAUAUUGUUCUUUGGUAUCUAGAUCCUAGAUUGUUGAACUAAAAUAUAUUCUUAAGUCACA